rnacentral:misc_RNA from 1 species
UCCGGUUUGUCACCGGCGGUCUCCUUAGAGUUCCCACCAUUACGUGCUGGCAACUAAGGACAAGGGUUGCGCUCGUUGCGGGACUUAACCCAACAUCUCACGACACGAGCUGACGACAGCCAUGCAGCACCUGUGUUCGAGUUCCCGAAGGCACCAAUCCAUCUCUGGAAAGUUCUCGACAUGUCAAGGCCAGGUAAGGUGGGGAUGACGUAUAGGAACACCAAC